GACAGAUCAAGCCUUCCCUGUCUUACUGUGAGAAGGAGUGGGUUUAUGCGUUCCAUGUCCCCGUUUGAUGCCUCCAAAAGCAGCAUCUACUGAACCCACCAUCCCACAUGACCGAACACAGAAUAAACAGACCCUCAAGACACUAGAAAGAUUGGGCUUUGCCAGGAAUACCAGGCCAAAUGGCUGGUGGGCUGCUGGACAGAAGAGCUCAUUCCCCUCAACACAGACCGCCACGGUCUCCCAGAUGGGGACCCCCGGAUGUGCAGCCAGCGUGAAAGCAUUGUUUCUCAUUCCUGGAGCGACUGUGCCACCGUCUUUACUGAGGCUGCCGAGCUCAUUUUGGAAUACUACCCACCUACUAAUGGUAUACUACAACACAACAUUACCCUGUUACUACUGGUAAUAUACUGAAUCACAACAUUACCCUGUAACUCCUG
ensembl:lncRNA